rnacentral:rRNA from 1 species
AUGAACGCUGGCGGCGUGCUUAACACAUGCAAGUCGAGCGAGGCCAGGGGGGCAACUCCCUGAGUCGAGCGGCGGACGGGUGAGUAACACGUGGGUAACCUGCCCGGAAGUGGGGAAUACCUCGGGGGAAAACUCGAGCUAAUACCGCAUGACAUCUUCGGAACGAGAGUUCUGACGAUCAAAGCGGGGGGGUCGCAAGAUCUCGCGCUACCGGAUGGGCCCCGCGCCCCGAUUAGCUAGUUGGCGAGGGGGGGGUAACGGCUCACCAAGGCAUCGAUCGGUAACCGGCCUGAGAGGGCGAUCGGGUCACACCGGAACUGAGACACGGUCCGGACUCCUACGGGAGGCAGCAGUGGGGAAAUCUUGCGCAAUGGGCGAAAGCCUGACGCAGCAACGCCGCGUGGAGGAUGAAGGCCCUUGGGUUGUAAACUCCUGUCGGCUGGGAAGAAAUCGUUCGGGGCUCAUACCUCCGGACGUUGACUGUACCAGCAAAGGAAGCCCUGGCUAACUCUGUGCCAGCAGCCGCGGUAAUACAGAGGGGGCCAGCGUUAUUCGGAAUUAUUGGGCGGUAAAGGGCGCGUAGGCGGCCACGCGUGUCUUCCGUGAAAUCCCUCGGCUUAACUGAGGACGUGCGGAAAGAAAACUGCGAGGCUCGAGUCCGGGAGAGGGGGGUGGAAUUCCCAGUGUAGCGGUGAAAUGCGUAGAUAUUGGGAGGAACACCGGUGGCGAAGGCGGCCCCCUGGACCGGUACUGACGCUGAGGCGCGAAAAGCGUGGGGAGCAAAACGGGAUUAGAUACCCCGGUAGUCCACGCCGGUAAACGAUGGGCACUUGGUUGUCGCGGGUAUCGACCCCUGCGGUGCCGAAGCUAACGCAAUUAAGUUGCCCCGCCUGGGGAGUACGGUCGCAAGGCUGAAACUCAAAGGAAAUUGACGGGGGCCCGCACAAGCGGCGGAGCAUGUUGCUUAAUUCGAGGCGACGCGAAGAACCUUACCUGGGUUGAACUACGCAGGAAAAGCCACAGAGAUGUGGUGUCCUUCGGGGUCUGCGAUAGGUGGUGCAUGGCUGUCGUCAGCUCGUGUCGUGAGAUGUUGGGUUAAGUCCCGCAACGAGCGCAACCCUUGUCCUAUGUUGCCAGCGGGUAAUGCCGGGGACUCGUAGGAGACUGCCGGGGGUCAACUCGGAGGAAGGUGGGGACGACGUCAAGUCAUCAUGCCCCUUAAGCCCAGGGCCGCAAAACAUGCUACAAUGGCCAGUACAAAGGGCUGCUAUACCGCGAGGUUGAGCGAAUCCCAUAAAGCUGGUCCCAGUUCGGAUUGGAGUCUGCAGCUCGACUCCAUGAAGCCGGAGUCGCUAGUAAUCCCGGAUCAGCAAACGCCGGGGUGAAUACGUUCCCGGGCCUUGUACACACCGCCCCGUCACACCACGAAAGUCGGCAACGCCCGAAGCCAGUGGCCUAACCCUUUGGGAAGGAGCUGUCGAAGGUGGGGUCGGCGAUUGGGGUG